rnacentral:lncRNA from 1 species
AUUACUACCAAAUGUUAACAGUAUUUUUACUUUGCCCUCUUUAGAGACAGAUUGAAGUAAUUACUACCAAAUGUUAACAGUAUUUUUACUUUGUCCUCUUUAGAGACAGAUUGAAGUAAUUACUACCAAAUGUUAACAGUAUUAACAGUAUUUUUACUUUGUCCUCUUUAGAGACAGAUUGAAGUAAUUUACUACCAAAUGUUAACAGUAUUUUUACUUUGCCUCUUUAGAGACAGAUUGAAGUAAUUAUACCAAAUGUUAAGUUUUUACUUUGCCCUCUUUAGAGAGAUUGAAAGUAAUUACUACCAAAUGUUAACAGUAUUUUUACUUUGUCCUCUUAGAGACAGAUUGAAGUAAUUACUACCAAAUGUUAACAGUAUUUUUACUUUGUCCUCUUUAGAGACAGAUUGAAGUAAUUACUACCAAAUGUUAACAGUAUUUUUACUUUGCCCUCUUUAGAGACAGAUUGAAGUAAUUACUACCAAAUGUUAACAGUAUUUUUACUUUGCCCUCUUUAGAGACAGAUUGAAGUAAUUACUACCAAAUGAAGCUAAUAACUAAGAACUUUUAAUAUCAUUGAAUGUAAGCAAUUUUAACCAGGUGCUCCACAGGGCGCAGCUUUAUACGACCGCAGAGGUCGAACCCUGAACAGUUGGGGCAAGUAUGGACAAAACAUUCAAGCGUGAUACAGCUCUGAAUUUGGAUUGUGAUAAAAUUUUUGACAUUACAUGUUUUUUUUUUACACAAAACAAAUGUCAAGAUUUUACAAAUCAAUUAAAGAUUUCUU